GUGCUCACUUUCUCACCACAUAUACUAAAAUUUCAGCGAACCACAGAAAAUUAGUUUGUCAGGGCCCGUGUGCAAGAAUGACAUGCGAAUCUGUGGAGCACUCCAUAUUUAU
rnacentral:snRNA from 14 species